rnacentral:rRNA from 1 species
AUUGAACGCUGGCGGCGUGCCUAACACAUGCAAGUCGUGCGAGAAAGUUCCUUCGGGAGCGAGUAAAGCGGCGCACGGGUGAGUAACACGUAGGUAACCUGCCCCCCAGUCUGGAACAACUAGAGGAAACUCUAGCUAAUGCCGGAUGAGACCACGAUCCCUUCGGGGGUUGCGGCCAAAGAUGGCCUCUACUUGUAAGCUAUCGCUGAGGGAUGGGCCUGCGGGCCAUUAGCUUGUUGGUGAGGUAACGGCUCACCAAGGCUGUGAUGGCUAGCUGGUCUGAGAGGAUGACCAGCCACACUGGGACUGAGACACGGCCCAGACUCCUACGGGAGGCAGCAGUGGGGAAUAUUGCGCAAUGGCGAAAGCCUGACGCAGCGACGCCGCGUGGGUGGAUGAAGGCCUCGGUCGUAA